UACGAAGGUGGCAAGCGUUGUUCGGAUUUACUGGGCGUACAGGGUGCGUAGGCGGUUGGGUAAGCCCUCCGUGAAAUCUUCGGGCCUAACCCGGAAAGUGCGGAGGGGACUGCUCGGCUAGAGGAUGGGAGAGGAGCGCGGAAUUCCCGGUGUAGCGGUGAAAUGCGUAGAGAUCGGGAGGAAGGCCGGUGGCGAAGGCGGCGCUCUGGAACAUUUCUGACGCUGAGGCUCGAAAGCGUGGGGAGCAAACAGG
rnacentral:rRNA from 1 species